rnacentral:tRNA from 1 species
GUCCCCGUAGCUCAGCAGGAUAGAGCGGCAGCCUCCUAAGCUGCAGGCCGUGGGUUCGAAUCCCGCCGGGGACG